rnacentral:pre_miRNA from 1 species
CAUGGACCAGUGGGGUCCCUCGGCCUGGCCUGUGCCCUCUCGCAAUCUGGGACCCUCGGAGGAUGUCAGGGAGCCAGUUUUGGCCCAAUCCUGCAGACCAGGCCAAGGGACCCCACUGGUGCACA